GCUUUGAUACUGCACAGGUCGAUCUGUUCAACAUCUAGUAUCCAUAGUUUACGACUAGGACUACUGGAGUAUCUAAUCCCAUUUGCUACCCUAGCUUUCGUCUCUGAGUGUUAGUAAUAGCCCAGUAAAGUGCUCUCGCCAUCGGUGUUCUUUCCAAUAUCUACGCAUUUCACCGCUCCACUGGAAAUUCCCUUUACCUCUACUAUACUCUAGUCUAAUAGUUUCGACUGCGAUUUUGAAGUUGAGCCUCAAGAUUUAACAGUUGACUUAUUAAACCACCUACAGACGCUUUACGCCCAGUGAUUCCGGAUAACACUUGCAUCCUCCGUCUUACCGCGGCUGCUGGCACGGAGUUAGCCGAUGCUUAUUCUUCAGGUACACGUCAUUUAUUCCUCCCUGAAAAAAGAGGUUUACAACCCAUAGGCAGUCUUCCCUCACGCUGUAUUGCUCCGUCAGGCUUUCGCCCAUUGCGGAAAAUUCCCCACUGCUGCCUCCCGUAGGAGUCUGGACCGUGUCUCAGUUCCAGUGUGUCUGGUCGUCCUCUCAAACCAGAUACUGAUCGUCGCCUUGGUAAGCUCUUACCUUACCAACAAGCUAAUCAGCCGCGAGCUUCUCUCUAGGCGGAUAAAUAUAAAUCCAUUUCACUCGAAAGCAUAUGGGGUAUUAGCAUUCGUUUCCAAUUGUUGUCCCCCUCCUAAAGGCAAAUUCUCACGUGUUACUCACCCGUCCGCCACUAAAGUUAAAAACUUUCGUACGACUUGCAUGUGUUAGGCAUACAGCCAGCGUUCAUCCUGAGCCAGGAUCAAACUCU
rnacentral:rRNA from 1 species